UUGCUAUCUGCGAUAUGGAAGAUUCGAACCUGCCGCAGGUUCGGGUCUCACGUAGCGAGACAACGGAGCCGCUUGCGGCGACGGCCCGAAGGGCGAGCAAAGCGAGUCAUCCUGCACGACCCACCA
rnacentral:sRNA from 1 species